ensembl:lncRNA
UGGGGCGGGGGCAUGGGGGCGUGGUCGUUAGCGUAAGGCCAGACAGCUCCCCGGCCUGAGUUGGGUGGUGGGGUAUGUGGUGGCAGGGCCAUGGUCAAGUGUCAGCUGUGGAUGGAGAGGACGUGGGUCGCACCAGCAGGAGAUGAUUCUCACCUGUGUCUUAUACGGUAGACAUUAGGUGAGGCAAUUUUUUCUCCCAGUACAAAUAUGUUUGAGUACACUGCAUAAGUCUCUAUCUGUUUUUAGAACUGAGCAACCUUCUUAACAAAGACAGGAACUUUAGACUGUUUAUUGUCUAACCUCCCUCAGUGGAAGUGGACACUCAUUUCUUAGUGAUGAAGAAUAAUAAACAAAUGUGAACACGUGUCUGGUAUAUUUUACAGAAACUGCACAUGAAUACUGGGCAUGUAGAAAAAGCUUACAGCCUUUUAAAAUGCUGCAAAUAACAUAUUUGAUUUUUUUUUUUUUUUUUUUUCAUUUAAAGGUUAAUUCAAGUUAUGGCAUUAAAUGCUGUCCAGCACCGAACACAUGGGAAAUCUUUUGGACUUUGGUUUGAGUAAACAGAAAACAUAGCAGCAGCUGUACAUCAACACUGUCCAGAAGCGCCGCCCACUUCUCUGGGCUCGGUCUCAUCUGAGAUGGAGAGUAACACAGUGAAAUCGUGUUUUGUGGUCCAACGAGUUGACAUUUCAAAUCGUUUUUGGACAAAAUAGCCGUCGUGUUCUCCGGGCCGUCUAAGCUGUUAUCAGCAUCAGGUCCAAAAGCCAGUCCAAGUCAUGGGAUGUCCCUGCAUUUUCCAGCAGGACAACGCCAAACCACAUUCUGCCCGGAUUACAAGUGCAUGGUUGUGAAAACAGAGAGUGCGGGUGCUAACAUGGUCUAAAAUAAGACAACGAAGGUCCUGUACAGUUGUGCAGCUGAAGAAAUGUAUAAUGGAUGAAUGAUGGAAAAUUUCCGCUUGCUAAACUUAACCAACUGGUGUCUUCACUCAACGCUUAUAAGUGUUAUUAAAAGGAAAGGUGAUGUUACACAACGUAAACAAUCGACUGUCCAAUUUAACCUUCCCUAAACCAGAAGGUCCAUUCAAACACCUAAUGAUUUCAUUGAACUGACAGAUCUCAAAUUAGUUGCCUAAUGCCUUCGGCUCUCCUGUAUUUAGCACGGUCCUUCAAUCUCUCAGCUUCAGCUCUCAUUUGAUUCAAAACACCUAAUAUGCUAUCACAUUCUUUCUCUAAACGUCCAUGUUUUGAUAUCUGCUUUUCAGUUCUCGUCACAUCCAGCGUGUCAAGUUGUAAAUCUCGCAGGUCUUGCUGGAGGAGCAGAACAUCAAGAACUGCUUUCUUAGCGGCCCCCGAAUCAGAAGGUUUUCCAGUCCGUACCUGGGGAACAGCUUGAGCCCUUUCUUUUUCUUGGCCCUCUUUUUCUUCUGACACGGUUGUGUUUCCCCGGGCUGUCAAGGUUGAGGUUCUUUACAUAGUUUAAUCAUAACAGUUUAAUCAUAAUCCCAUAACAUAAUACAUCAGCU